CAAGAUUCUCACUGAAUAAAUAUUUCCUCAAUUACUAGAGAAACACAUUUGUCCUUUUUCAUUAUAUUUCUACAAGCGACAUAUACUAUAAAAGGGUAUCCAGAAUCAUACCACAUUUAAGCCUAGAAUACAUAACCCCAGAAGCAUAAAGAUGUAGAAUCAAUAGUGAUAACGAGGAAAAUUAUGCUACAACUGCAGAAUUUUAUCACACUGUAUAUAUGUAUUUAUUUGCCCAUGAUAGUGCCCUGAACUCAUUCUGGGAGAAUAGCCUAAACACACACUGAAAAAAACAAUUCUUGGACAGGAAGAAAGAAAACAAACUGAAGUAAAAACAAACAAAAUUAUAUAAACAGGCUCCUGUUUGACUUGUAAAAAUACUUGUCAGUGAGUCAUAUUAGUUCUGGGAAGGCAGAAUAAGAGACAAGAAGGCAGCAUUCACCAGAUAGAUGGCAGAGUUCAUAAAUUCAGAGUUGGAAAAUCAGAUGAUACAAGGUCCUCACUUAGAAGAUUUUUUCUAUACCACAUAUCUAAGCGUUUAGAAAUAAAAUUAUAAAGAUUCCCAUCUUACAGAUGGCCUAUAGUCACAGAGCUGAAGUAACAUGGAUUCAACCAAUUCUAGAAGAUGAAAAAUCCUAUGGAACAGAUGCAGGCACAAAUCCCUACAGCAGUCAAUCUCUAAAAUGAAAAUGUUACUUGGAUAGUUAUAUUUGUGCUGUGGCUGUAUUUAAUCAUUGGCUAUAAUUUUCAAAAUAAAAUAUGACAGAUUUUGAAAAUGA